rnacentral:tmRNA from 1 species
GGGGGCGUAAAGGUUUCGACGGGGAUAGUGAAUCAGGAAUAGCGAGUAGUGGGGGGAACCACUUAAAAAGCCCAAAUGUUUAAAAUUAAACGCUAACAAUAAUUUAGCUUACGCUGCCUAAUUAAGGCGGCCGUCUGACUUGUGAAUACCACGCCACAAGAUCGGGCGUCAAUUAGUGGUGAACGUGAGUUAUGCAAAGCUUUGAGCUGACCAUGAAUAAUGAAGCUACCAAAACGCGCAGUUUGUCUGUGAACGGCGCACAGAGGGAAUGUUAAAUCAUAGACUGCACUCGGAGAAGUUCCUGUGGAAGUGUUUUCGGACAGGAGUUCGAUUCUCCUCGCCUCCACCA